rnacentral:lncRNA from 1 species
AGUUAUUUGAAUUCCACAUGUGUAUUAGUGGUUGCAGUACACCAGACCUCAGGGGGUUAGGAUUGGCAUCUGAAGAGGGGCAGUCACAUGGGCCUGAGCCCUUUACUGGCGUGAUACAGGUCGAUAGUGCUCGAAUUGACUGGAAUCAUAAGCGUCUCUGCUGAUGUUGGAGAAUGAAUAUGUAUAUAUGAAUGAGUGCUUAUCUGCAUAUACACCUGUGUACCAGAAGAGGGCAUCAGAUCCCAUUAUAGAUGGUCGCAAACCACCAUAUGGUUUUUGGGAAUUGGACUCAGAACCUCUGGAAGAACAGCCAGUGCUCUUAACUGCUGAACCAUCUCUCCAGCCCCUGAUUAAUUUUGAAUAAAUCUUAAUUUAAAAUUAAUUAAUUAAUUUUGGAGAAAUGUUCUUCCCAUUUUGGUGUGAAACGUUUUAAUAAACAAGGGAAAGCACUUGUUUGGGUAAAAGUCAAAAAGUUUAUGGGAUGGGGAUGUGGUUCAGUGGUGGCGAGCUAGCCCUGGUUUCCCAGUACUACAAAGGGAAACCUCGUAUGACGUAAGUGCCUGGUAAGUGAUCCAUUUAAUAACAGUAAAAUAACAAGUUAAGGUGCACUGUUGCCAUUCUUGGAACUAUUCUUGAGCUUCAAAUUUUGGAAAGUUAAAGUGAAUUGACAGAAAAUUAACAAGUAAAUAGGCUAAUUUCAUAAUAGCUCACUAGCUAAUAGUAAUGAUUUUGUUGCAAGUUGUGUCACUUUAUUAAGGGAUAAGUAAUUUCACUAAUUGAGAUUGGCUCCUGACUUUCCCCUGAACUCAAACAAGUUGUUAGGAACAGCAUAGGAUGAGCAAGUCACAGACACCUCUUAAAUGUACGAGGAUCAGCCUGGUAGGCUACGUCAUGAGUGUGAAUCAGGCUAGUUCCUCUUUACUCACUGUAAGCACACGACCGUGUAAGUGAGUCCUAUGGACAUGGACAACUUAAAACUAGAUGCCGAGGAGCUAGAGAAAGUACCCAAGGAGCUAAAGGGAUCUGUAACCCUAUAGGUGGAACAACAAUAUGAACUAGCCAGUACCCCGGAGCUCUUGACUCUAGCUGCAUAUGUAUCAAAAGAUGGCCUAGUCGGCCAUCACUGCAAAGAGAGGCCCAUUGGACUUGCAAACUUUAUAUGCCCCAGUACAGGGGAACGCCAGGGCCAAAAAGGGGGAGUGGGUGGGUAGAAGAGUAGGGGGGUGGGUAUGGGGGACUUUUGGGAUAGUAUUGGGAAAUGUAAAUGAGGAAAGUACCUAAUUAAAAAAAAAAAGAAUAACCUGUGAAUUAAACUUUGAAAGAUUUACCUGUUAAUAAAUAUCUUCAUUC